GCCGGUGUGGCGGAAUUGGCAGACGCGCUGGACUCAAAAUCCUGUGACCGCAAGGUCGUGCCGGUUCGACCCCGGCCAUCGGUA
rnacentral:tRNA from 1 species